GCGCAUGCCUGAAAACUUGUAACCUAAGCUACGCACGGGGAACCUCGUUUCACCAUCAUUGCUUGGGGGAAAGUCCCCGGACUCUGGGCAGAGAUGUCCUGCAUGCAGCGCAGAGCGGUGGUUUGCGUAGCGUGUCGAUGCUAAGACGUCCUCGUGACAGAGCAUAACGCUUGCAAUCCAGAUUUGUCAAUGAAAUAGAUAUUCAAGUGAAGCAUAAACGUGCUUCUACAGAACGGGGCUCAUUCUCAGCUUGCG
ensembl:ribozyme RNase_MRP RNase MRP